rnacentral:lncRNA from 1 species
GGGUCCGAUCUCGGGGAUGAGACGCCGCAACCGACGGUGCCAGUGGCCGAAAAAGAGAGGAAAGGGUUCCGGCCGAACAAGGGUUUCCUGUUUCAUGGAAUUUUCGGCGAUCCCGAUGGCCGGCGAGGAGUCUAAAACCAUGGAAAGAAAGAGAAGAGGGAGAGGAAGAAAGAUUGAACCCUCACCUGAACUCCGGUGGCCUCUUCGACCUUCGAUUUUCGACGAACACAAGA